AUCCUGGCUCAGGAUGAACGCUAGCGGCAGGCUUAACACAUGCAAGUCGAGGGGUAACAGGAGAGCUUGCUCUUGCUGACGACCGGCAAACGGGUGCGGAACACGUACACAACCAACCAUGUACAGGAGGAUAGCCCUGAGAAAUUAGGAAUAAUACUCCAUAAGAUAGUAUAUAGGCAUCUAUAAGCUAUUAAAGAUUUAUUGGUAUAUGACGGGUGUGCGUAAGAUUAGAUAGUUGGUGUGGGUAACGGCCUACCAAGUCAACGAUCUUUAGCUGAUGUGAGAGCAUGAUCAGCCACAUGGGCACUGAGACACGGGCCCAACUCCUACGGGAGGCAGCAGUGAGGAAUAUUGGUCAAUGGACGGAAGUCUGAACCAGCCAUGCCGCGUGAAGGAUUAAGGCGUUCUGCGUUGUAAACUUCUUUUGUCUGGGGCGAAAACGUUCUUUUUUAAGAACCUUGACGGUACCAGAAGAAUAAGCACCGGCUAACUCCGUG
rnacentral:rRNA from 1 species